CCUCACCUGACCCCAUGCCGAACUCAGAAGUGAAACGCCGUAGCGCCGAUGGUAGUGUGGGGUCUCCCCAUGCGAGAGUAGGGAACUGCCAGGC
rnacentral:rRNA from 1 species